GAGCUUUUCUGUGUACAUCUGACAGCCGCAUGCUCUGGCACUGUGGUGGGCAGACGCGCAUUCGCACAAACCAUCAAUGUACACACAAAUACGUGCAGAGGCACGCGUGUACGCACAUCCACACAAAACAUCAUUCAACAUUUAUUAACACGCAGGUGUAUUGACAAGGAAACGGCAAUGAAUCAUGAAGAAAACGAAACACGUGAUUUGAGUACACAAAGGAAUAAAUCGAACAAAUAAACCCUCAAAUUUGGAGCUUUUUUUUGUUGUUGUUGUUUUUUAAAAGCCUGGCAUCCAUUUUUUUAUGCAGUGGAUAUGACGAGAAUGAAAAAAAAUCCAAGUUAAUAUCUUCAUUCAUUUGGCUGAAUAGGUUUGAAACACAAGCGCAGCUAACGUUUCUAAUUUUAGCAGUCCAUCUAAUAAAGUGACGAGGCAACCUAUUUAAGUCUGUUUUCUCACCACUUAAAGGCCUAUUUAACCUCUCUUUGAAUCAUUACAAUAUCCUUCACCGCAACAAAUUCCUCCCUCCCCCCUCCUUUCAUCCAUCUUCUGCCUUGUUAGGGCGAAUGUAUUAGCAUAGCUUUUGUUUUGCAGAUGAAUUUCAUUAAACUCCGAACAAACCCUGCCGCACAAGCGCAGCCCUUUGAUCUGGAGACGCAGCCUCUUAAUUUCUAUUCUCCAGACGUUAAACACUGCGAGUGGCUCCACGAGGUUCAACUAACCUCCCGUGCAACUCCACUUCCACGUAUGCCAAUUUCUACAACUCAAUUCAUGUUAUGUGGCGGUGUAUGCUAAUGAUUCAAGGUCACCGUUACGUUGUAGUCGAGCAACAUUAUCAUCCCUUUAUUGUUUUGGAACGACGUAGCUCUCUCCUUUCUCGGAAAAAAAAAACAAAAACAAACAAAAAAAAACAA